AUGAAGCCAUACCGAAAGGAGUGGUGGACUGCUAGGAAGAGAGAAUGCCGGAAUGAGUAGCGAGAUGAAGGUGAGAAUCCUUCAGGCCGAAUAUCUAAGGUUUCCAGAGUAAAGCUGAUCUGCUCUGGGUAAGUCGGGACCUAAGGCGAGGUCGAAAGACGUAGUCGAUGGAUAACAGGUUGAAAUUCCUGUACCGCAUAUAAACAGAACUGUGGGGACACAGACAGGGAAUGGAAUCCGGGGAUGGAGAACUCGGAGCAAGCGAGGUAGGAGUAUCAUUGGCAAAACCGUGAUACUGAUCUGAAGACGUGAUGCGUACCGAACAUAAGUAGGGAAGUCCAGGCCCCUGGCUGUCAAGAAAAGCCGCUAUUGUUUUAUAUGUGCCCGUACCGCAGACCGACACAGGUGGAUGAGGAGAGAAUCCUAAGGCCGACGGGAGAAGUAUUGUUAAGGAACUCGGCAAAAUGACUCCGUAACUUCGGGAGAAGGAGUGCCAUGAGAGUGGCCGCAGAGAAAUGGCCCAAGCAACUGUUUAGCAAAAACACAGGUCUAUGCAAAACCGCAAGGUGAAGUAUAUGGGCUGACGCCUGCCCGGUGCUGGAAGGUUAAGGGGAGAGGUUAGCGCAAGCGAAGCUUUGAACUUAAGCCCCAGUAAACGGCGGCCGUAACAAUAACGGUCCUAAGGUAGCGAAAUUCCUUGUCGGGUAAGUUCCGACCCGCACGAAAGGCGUAAUGAUUUGGGCACUGUCUCAACGAUACACCCGGUGAAAUUGAAAUACCAGUGAAGAUGCUGGUUACCUGCGCCAGGACGGAAAGACCCCAUGGAGCUUUACUCCAGUUUGAUACUGGGAUUCGGCAUGGUAUGUACAGGAUAGGUGGGAGACUGAGAAGGUAUGACGUCAGUUGUACCGGAGUCGCUGUUGGGAUACCACCCUUACCAUGUUGGAUUUCUAACCUGUGGCCGUGAACCGGUCAGGGGACAAUGUCAGGCGGGGAGUUUGACUGGGGCGGUCGCCUCCGAAAGGGUGUCGGAGGCGCUCAAAGGUUCCCUCAGAAUGGUUGGAAACCAUUCGAAGAGUGCAAAGGCAGAAGGGAGCUUGACUGUGACACCGACGGGUGGAGCAGGUACGAAAGUAGGACUUAGUGAUCCGGUGGUAUAAAGUGGGAUUGCCAUCGCUCAACGGAUAAAAGCUACCCUGGGGAUAACAGGCUUAUCACUCCCAAGAGUUCACAUCGACGGAGUGGUUUGGCACCUCGAUGUCGGCUCAUCGCAUCCUGGAGCUGUAGCAGGUUCCAAGGGUUGGGCUGUUCGCCCAUUAAAGCGGUACGCGAGCUGGGUUCAGAACGUCGUGAGACAGUUCGGUCCCUAUCCGGCGCAGGCGGAGGAAAUUUGAUAGGAGCUGUCCUUAGUACGAGAGGACCGGGAUGGACGGACCGCUGGUGUAUCUGUUGUACUGCCAAGUGCAUCGCAGAGUAGCCAAGUCUGGAAGGGAUAAACGCUGAAGGCAUCUAAGCGUGAAGCCCCCCUAAAGAUAAGAUUUCCCAUACCGAAAGGUAGUAAGACCCCUUGAAGACGACGAGGUAGAUAGGGCAGAGGUGGAAGUGUGGUAACGCAUGGAGCUGACUGUUACUAAUCGGUCGAGGCUUUAACC
rnacentral:rRNA from 1 species